UACGAAGGGGGCGAGCGUUGUUCGGAAUUACUGGGCGUAAAGGGCUCGUAGGCGGCCAACUAAGUCAGACGUGAAAUCCCUCGGCUUAACCGGGGAACUGCGUCUGAUACUGGAUGGCUUGAGAUUGGGAGAGGGAUGCGGAAUUCCAGGUGUAGCGGUGAAAUGCGUAGAUAUCUGGAGGAACACCGGUGGCGAAGGCGGCAUCCUGGACCAACACUGACGCUGAGGAGCGAAAGCCAGGGGAGCAAACGGG
rnacentral:rRNA from 1 species